CAAAUACUCCCUCCGUCCGGAAAUACUUGUCAUCAAAAUGGAUAAAAGGAAAUGUAUCUAGACGUAUUUUAGUUUUAGAUACAUCUAUUUUUAUCCAUUUUGAUGACAAGUAUUUUUGGACGGAGGGAGUAGAAN
rnacentral:pre_miRNA from 1 species